GCCUGGGUAGCUCAGUUGGUUAGAGCAUGGUGCUGAUAAUGACAAGGUUGCGAGUUUGAGCCCUGUAUGGGACA